UCCCCUUAAACUUAGAGGCCCUUUGGAUUCAGAUCUGAACCCAGCCUCAAAUUGCAUGUCUUAAGAAAAUCUCUUCUUAAAGCAAAACUUUAAAUGAUUCUUUGUGAAAACAUUCAUGUUUGGUGCAUUUUUAUAUUAGUUUAAGUACUAUUUGGCCAUUAGAUAACCUUGCUCUGAAACAACAUUGUGUAAGUAUGAAGUACUUGCUGAGUCACUUUUUAUUGGCAGUGCAGUAUAAUACCAAUGAGAGUUCCAAUGCUGACAUAAGUUUUUAAAUAUCAUUAUUCUAUAGCCCUGUACAUGCAUGCACAAUCUCGUGUGAGUGAAAAAUAAUUCACACCAUUUUAGUCAUUUAACCUCAUAGUGAUUUUUAAUUUAGAACAAUUUUUUAAACUAGAUUUUAAAAAGUCACGCUCUCUUUCACCCAAAAGCACAUGGAGAAAUAAGUAAUAUAUUUACAAAAAAGCUAUGUUCCACAAUCUGAGUUCUGCAAAACAGGGCUCAUAAACAUAGUGCUAACUUGGAAGUUGUGAUUUAAGAAAUGAACAGUCUGUCAUUAAAAAUUCUGCUUCUGGGGAUUGCAGAGAGUUCAGGGUUUGAGCAACUUCUGAAGAGAAACCAUAAUUUUCUGGUGAUGAACUGGAUUAGGGUAUAGAAAAGUGAAGAAGUGAGAAGCUCUUCCUGAUAACCCAAUUCCUCAAGAGGGAGGAGACAGACUACAAAAAAAUCUCCCUUGAGAACCCCUGGUACUACUGGAGGGAAGUUAGAUUAUGAGCUACCUCUAUAAAGAUCCUGCUUCUUAAGAGACAGAGCUAUUUCAUCCAUCAGUAGCAUCCCCAGACUCAGUACAGCUCUGGAUACAGUUAGGAACAAGAAAGAGCAGGUUGUACAAGCAGCCUUGUCCUGGUGUUUUAGGGAGCUGGAGGUUAAGUAUUUCCACUCAUGAACUUUAUCAUUGUGUAUUACUCUGUCUUUUUGCUUUUAAAUGGUACUUUGGGUUCUGUCUGAAACAGGGCAUUCAAAAGCUUAUGAAAGACAAAAAAAACCUCCCUUCUCUGCCCUGCUAACAAGAUGGAAUUUGGUCUAGUAAACAAAGCUUCUAUAAUUAAAAAUAUAGUUUUUGAUAUUCAGCUCUUUUUGUAUGCCAUAUAUAUAGUGACAAGUAGAAGCACUGUUCUUGUCUGUACAGUAUACAUUCAUGGACACCUGAAUCCUUCUUACAGGUACUUCUAAUCCCUUUUCAUUUUGGUAAACAGCAGUGGCAGGACAUGUCACAUAAAAAGAUACAAUUCUGAUGUGUAAUCCUGUACUUUACAGUCUCUAUAAGGGUGAUUCAUGGAAUUUAACAUGGGAAAGUAAAUUCUGUAGCCUACAAGUACUGACAGUGUCUCUUUAGCAGGUGAGUUGAGCCUUUGCUAAAGUACUGUUCUAGAAUAAAAUGAGCUGGUUGUCCAUGACUGAAUAGAACUCUCAAAGACUAACACAAUAUUACGUUGGUCCAACAGAAGGUAAGUCUGAGGUAUUUUUAAACAAUGGCCAUCAGGUUUUUUGCAUAAUCACUAGCAGAAUCAUAAACAAUAGAAGGUUUAACUAAUAUAUAAAAAUAAAACUCAAGUUAUUUUCACUUGACAUGUAAUGCCUUUAGGGUUUUUAUAAUUUUUACUUUUAAUUGGUUCCUUUCCUCUCUAUAUACAUUGUGGUCCUGAACCCUUUGAGCUGUUAACAAUACUUUAUGUACUAUGGUAUUAUGACAGCUACAAUGCAACAUAAAUAAUUUACUCUUCAGCAUUGAUAGGUCAUACCAUUGCUCCAAAAAUAUUCUUGGAAGUAUAAAUAUAAAGAGGGAGAGUAAACUCUGUUAUUGAAUUGAUGGAUUUUGUUUAAAUACUCAUUACAAGAAAAAGAUCUAUUUGCACAGUGGAUAAAAUGCUAAUUUUAUUUAAGUGUUAUUAAACAGAGAUUUUUGGCUAGAUUGUCAUUCCUAGAAAAAUUACACAGUCACUUGAUUUCUCAGGUCUUGUUUCUCCAUAAGAAUUUGCUUGCAUGGCUGCUACACUACAAGGGAAAACUGAAUCCAGGACUGACUGACUGUUUCCUAAACAAAUUGAGAAGUUGUCAUCAGGAAGCAUCUGUUACUUCAUUACUCUCACGAAAAAGCAUUCUUGUGCUAUCAUAACGGACUAUUGAGCAGAUGCUUUAAAGCACUAAACCCACAGCAAUGUCACUUUGCCGUUUGAUUUUGCCUCUCAGGUUACAUUUCAGCAGUGAACACACAAUCACAGGCACCGAAUUUCUAGGCCUGAUUCUGCCUGUACUUACUGUAGUGUAAAUUAAGAGUAAAACCAAAAAGAAAUCAAUGGAGUAAUACUAUGUGCAACUGUUUUACUGACCAAAGUUUCCCCAGAACCCCCACAAAUAUUUAUGGCACACCAGAUGACAUCAUGAGAGAGUAUGCCUCCUGAUAGCUGAUCAGGAGUUCUUCCCAGGCUGGAUGAUACUAUGAAAGAUAGACAAACUGAAUUAGCAGUGUACUUUGCAGAACACAAAUCUGAAUUGCAGCUUUUGUUCAAGAAGAGAAAAGGGGACCAUUAAACUGAAGAUUGUUCACCACAACUAUGAACAAUGAGAAAAAGACCAAGACUUCCCAGGGCCUCCAACACAUUUAGGGGCAUAAAAGGCAGAGUGACCCUGACCCUUCCACUGUUGCCUCACAAUUCAAAGGCUGUACUAGCUGAGGAUUUUCAAAGAAUGGAUGGAGGAUGAGUUGUGGAUCCACGACGACAUCACAAAGAACCAUCAUUACUGUUGGAGAUCUGUGAGGAGGUUGAGCUCGCUCCAUGUGAAACCGUGGGCAGCGAAGGAACUGAUGGGAGCUGGACCAUGUGAGAGAUCAAAAGGCACGAACGGCCUGAGGCGUGAGCCACACAUGCACAGUUCGGCUGAUGACUGCUCAUCAAAACUCCAAGCUGCGGCACCGGGACGAGCCUGACACCACCAGUGGAGCACUCACGGGGACACCACCACCAGUGGAGCACCUACGGGUACACCACUCGAAGAAGAAUCUCCAUUUUAAGACUGUAAUCUAAUUCCUGUGCCCUAGAAGGCAGAAGGUUCUGUGUUGAUGUACCUGAGACUAAACAUCAACUAUUAAGAGACUGCAGUUUGUUUUCAAGCUCUCUCCUAAUGGAGUGUUAAGAGCUUGGGGUUACCCCACGGGGAGAAGUUCACAAGUGCUUCUUCUUGGACGAAAGGGGUUUUUGCAUUUGGGUGGUGGCUGUGUACCACCAAAGGUCAGAAGUCUGUGACCUUGCGGAGUUUUUUAAACAGAAGCUUCUAGUGACAAGGUAUUUUAAGGUCUCUUGCAGGCCCUCACCUUCUGCACUCAAAGUGUCAGCAUGGGGAACAGUCUUGAGGGCUCCUCCAAAUUCACAGUCCAUUGUGGCUAAUUUUAUGGACACAGGAUUUGAACAGUGAUAAAUUUCACAUUUUCACCUGUUUAAAUCUGAAACUUCCCCGUGUUGUGACCCCAAAAGGAGAGGGGGAUCACAGACCUGUUGUAUGGUGUCAGAGGAUUGCCAUCCUCAUCUCUAUGCUGCUUUCAGAGCUGGACUCAGAAGUCAACAGCAACAGAAGGUUCCAAGAGGUAAAGGUGGCUCUGAUCUCCCCUCUGCUGCUGAGGUACCUCAGUUAGAGGCUCCUCGCUGCUAGUCCUGGGCAGCUUGCAAGAUACAAUACUUGCUCUCUCUCUCUCUCUCUCUCUCUCUGUGCAGCUGUAGAAAGCUCUGCGCCCCACACACACUUCUUGCCCUAUUGUUCCCUUACCCAGUCAGAGCUAGGAAGCCCUCUUUGAUGGUGCGCUCCCAGGAGCACAGGAAAGAUAUGAUACAACUCCACAAGUCUCCAGCUGCAGGAACCUCAGGCUGCUGCCCUGUCCCAGACAGUGUCCUGCAGCAAGGCGAAGCAACCAAUGGUGGGUCUGGUCUGGUCCCCUCCUCCCACCACCAGAGCAUUUUGCAGGGGAGGGACAGGUCCUGUCCUUCCCCUGCCCAGUCAUAAUUAGGAAGCCCCCUUUGAUACAGUGCCUAGGAACAAGGAGACAUCAGAUUUUAUGGAAAGGGACUUAUUUAAUGGUCCAUAACACUUUUUUCAUAGUUGUGAAAUUGGUAGGGUCCUAGUUAUGUUGAACCCUCCAAGCUGUGUUUAUAUUUCAUACAAUAGUGCCUUUCUGGCAUGGAGAGCAGGGCUAGGUCUCUGAUCUCAGAGUAAGUGCAAACAGUUACUAUCAAGACCUUCAGCGCUGAGGCUGGUGCACAAACCAUAAGUACUGCUUCUGGUCAUAAUAAGAGGAGAGGGAGAGUGAAACAAGGAGGUGGCACUGGCGGGGACUGGCAGAACAGGAAGUACUAAUACCUCCUUUUCUUUUAUGGAACCCAAGAAAAGUGUGGGUUGGACUGAUGAAAGGGCUGUAGAAUGUCAUGAAAGGUGCACCAUGGUUCCAGAAUGGAUCCCAUGGGGGCCAUCAGAGCCAAGCAUAGGAGUAUUUGGGCAGCAAUGUACUCUUGUGGUACACAGUGCCCUGGGUCAGUGGCCCAUAAGCCAGAGAAUGAAGUGAUCUACACCUGGGAUACAGAAUGUGAGCAUGGGCAGGUGAGUAGGAGAAGGUCCAGCUCCAAGAAACCCUCAGAAUGGGGUCCCAGAGAAUGGGUCUUGGAACUGUGGAUCUAAUGAUCCGUGGUUGGUGAAAAGCGUGUGCCUCUUUGGGAGGAGUAGUAAAGGUCCAUCUGGUGGAUAAGGCAGGACUGAACUGUGGGGGGAAGCAAAUAUAACAAUAUAAGGUAGCAGCUACUCUGCAGUAGGCACCAGCCAUUCUAGGCUGGGCAUACAGGGAACCGUUCAUGGCAGAUCAGAAAGGCCUGCCCAUGAUGAUGGUUCCAGAGUGUUGACCACGGGCAGUGGAAGCCUGGGUAGAAACUGAUGCUAAGAGGAGGAGAGGCAGGCAGGCUAAGUCCAGUACUAAUAUCUUUGUGUUAUAAAGAGUUCCUCUGCACUUUUCUGUCAGUCUUCCCACAACAUUCACUGGAGCACAGGCAGCAGUGCCAUAAGAAGCCUUUCUUCAAGUAUUGAUGCCCAACCCAGUACACAGCCUUGGAAUUUUUAAAAGAGCAGUGAGAGUUGGGCCAAAUGAUCAGUGAAACCAACAAUCUUUCAUACCACAGGCUCAUUACAAUCAACAGAAGUGUUGCAUGCUAAUUCUCUGCAGAGGAAAGGUGGUGAUUGGUUGAGUUACCUAUCAUGUCACGAUGGCCCCAUUUACGAGUUAGCUAAGAUGUUGAUCUGAGCCUGUUGAUAGACUAUAUAAUCACAGCAAUUAGAAAAAAAAAUCCUUACCCCUUGUAAUUAAGUUAAUCUAAUUUAUUCAAAUAUAGCCUAUGCGCAAGAUUUCAAUUAAUUCUAACUAUAUGGGAAGUUUGAAAUGUGCGUGCUAAUCUCUUUUAGAUCAUUUAGGACAAACAAGGGACCUACACAGAUGCUCAGUUUCUUAAAGGACUCCACUGUAAUUAUUUUAACUAAUAAACUAAUAUAUUUAAUUAUACAUUCUUAGAAAACUCAGAAAAUUCAUUCUGUAUAAUGGGUAAGUGCUUAAAGAGUGCUCUCAAAAAAGGUGAUGGUACGCCGUACCAGUGCAUACUGUCACAGAGAAAUCACUGACCAUAGGUAUCCCAGAAAAUCUAUGCUGUGUUGAAGUAGUGUGUCCACUUUUUUGGAACAAUUUUGCAGACAUGUUCUUCCGCCAUCCCUGUAAUCCUCAUUGUAUGAGGAAGAAGGGAUGUU